AAUUCAAUGUGAUGUUGUGCUCUGAUGUCCCAAAAUUGUUUCAUUAUUCUCUGUUGUGCUUCUAUAGUAUUGUGUUACCAGCUAAGAUGGGGACUAUUCACUCACCACCAUGCUCCUCACUGGAGAACAUAGGAACCAUUUCCUAAAAGUAUAAAAAUAUAAUUCUGACUUGUUCUGCUUUCUGUUUCCAUGCAACUUCAUUCAAACAUACAUAAUCUGUUCAACACCUACCUUACCAGCAACUGUGCAAAAAGCGAUGGAACCAAAAAUGAAUCAGUACAUAUAAAUGUGCAUGUCUACAGAUAUUUUUUCCUAAUGCAAUUGCUCUAUCCACACUGUAACCCAGUAAAAAUUGUUUACCUUCCUUGGAAAAGUGAUUGGAUAGUUAGUUCUUUGAGAGACUUAACUACGUUGACUGCAACCACAUGAGCCAUUUUUUCCCUACAAUUUUCUUGAUUGCUUAUUAUUUUAGAUACCUCCAACUUGUUUAUCAGGCACAUGUUAAAGCAUGUUGAAACGCGUUAUUCAGGUUCAGCAUGAAGGAUUUGGCAUUAUUCAACAAAAUAUCAUAAACUUCUGUUGAAAUGAAUGAUUCCAGCAACAUGGAGCUUCAUCUGCAAAUCCAGAAAACAUUUCUUGCAUGUAUGGAGGAAGGUCCUGGGAACCUGGAAUUGCUGGUUGAGCGAGCUGGAGUAGAGAAGACUAAGGCCCAGAGGAGGCAAGUGACUCACCCAAGGUCACAUAGCUGUGAUGGGAAGUUAGAUCUACCUGAUUCCUAAGCUGAGGCUUUUUCUGCCACAUCACACCACCUCCCAGACACAAGUAAUCUUAUCUGUCAUUCCAUUAAAAAUACACCACAUUCUUCUGUGCUCCAGUUUGGAUAAUGACUCAAGAAAAGGCAGUCCGUUUCUGCAUUGCGGCACCCCCACAGCUUCUAUAAAAUCAUCAAAACCAUGUUCUUCUGAAGGAGGACUUUUACCCCAUCAGCAGCUUCAAGAUCCAUUGACAAGUCAGGAGCACAGUAUCCCUGAAUUCCGGGCAGAGGAGGGGGCUGCUUUGGCUCACUUCCUUCCUCCUUCCCCAAACAGAAUCCAGCUCCUAUAUAAAAUUCAUAAAUUCUUGGCAGGAAAGAAAUCCUCCCAUUGGAAGGAACAGAUGUUCUACGAGUAACUUUUGCCAUCAUAACUCUGUUCCUAAUAUCAUACUUUUAAAGUGUGGGGGGAUGUUAACUUUUUUUUUUUUUUAAAUGUCAACAUGUUCUGGGCAGCUUUUCCAUCUCCAUCUGUGGCAUACACAUCACCAACCCUCCCACCGCCCUUUUUUAAAUUUCCAGAGACUAGUUGGGAAUUGGAAAGAUAUUAAAAAGUGAAAGUGGAAAAUUCAA